CCCAGUAUCUAGUUCUCUGCAGCGCUCACAUGGUCGCCCACUGAAGUCAAGCAGGGCUGCACCUAGUCAGUAUCUUGAUGGAAGACUACAUGGGAAAGCUAGGUUGCUGUUGGAU
rnacentral:rRNA from 1 species